CGGACCGGCGCACGGGUGAGUAACGCGUAUCCAACCUGCCUUACACUCUUGGACAGCCUUCUGAAAGGGAGAUUAAUACAAGAUGUUAUCAUGAGUAAGCAUUUUCACAUGAUUAAAGGUUUGCCGGUGUAAGAUGGGGAUGCGUUCCAUUAGAUAGUAGGCGGGGUAACGGCCCACCUAGUCUUCGAUGGAUAGGGGUUCUGAGAGGAAGGUCCCCCACAUUGGAACUGAGACACGGUCCAA
rnacentral:rRNA from 1 species